rnacentral:lncRNA from 1 species
AUCUUUAAAAAAGGCUCUGAUUGGCUCAGCGCGGCACACUGAUGCACAACUGUCAUUCAACGCACCUCAUCUGAGCAUGAAGAUGGGAUCUCGUGUGCACACACAAGAGCUUGCCGCAGUUGAGUCAGUCCAUCACCAUGGCAGGGGUACUCGUUGGAAGCUCUAUAUUUGGGAUCACAGCCAACAGGUUCUUCAUCGAGUCUGCCCUCUGGUACUGCUCCUUGGGGAAACUGGACAUCACCCUGAAGGCCCUGCAGAGAGUGGCCCAGAUCGACAGGAAGCAGAGAGAAGGUGCCAAACUGAGUGUGGAGAUGCUCCAGAUGAGUCUGCAGAGGGGCCUGACCAUGGGCCAAGCCCAGCCUUUGAUGCUGCAACUGCUGCACAUGCCAGCUGUCCAGAAGCUCUUCUUCUGUCUCCUGCCACUAUGGCAGAGAGAUCUGAGCAUGACGGCCGCCUUGGCCAACACAGGCAGCAUCCUGAGCCCGCUGGUGAGCACGACCUCAGAGGUUUACCCUUCCCUGCCUCUCUGCAUCUCUGGAGCAGCCCUUGUGGCUGCCUGUCCCAUCACUGUCCUCCUGCCGGAGACUCUGGGGCAGCCACUGCCCAACACAGUGCAGGACCUGGAGAGAAGGUGGAAAGAGAAACCCGGGCAGAAGCAGCAGGAGCAGCAGAUGGUUCCCCUCCUGCCUCCCGAGGACUGAGAAAGGGCAAAGCACGGACGGAGCCCCCGCAUCUCCUGGAGGUCCUCACCCAGAGGAGGGGGAGAGGAACGGCAGCCAGGGGAAGACGGGAGGGACCGCUGCUGGACCUGUAAUUCCAGAGGACACUUCCCCUGGGUCUCCGAUCCUAGCCAGACCCACCCUCCCAUUUCAUUGAAAGUAGCUACACACAACUUCUCCCAUUCUUUCCACCAUGGCCGCUCCACAUCAGCUAACCCUUGGUGCAAAAAUUCACAUGGCAGAGUUCCCACUGCGGUGCAAUGGGAUUGGUGGCGUCUCUGCAGCACCAGGAUGCAGGUUCGAUCCCCAGCCCAGCACAAUGGGUUAAAGGACCCAGUCUUGCCACCGUGGCAUUGGUUGCAGCUGUGGCUAGGAUCUGAUCCUGGCCUGGGAACGCCGCAUGUCUUGGGGCAGCCAAAAAACAAACAAACAAAAAAAAAACACAACAACUCAUUCAGUGAUCAUUGGUGUAGAAAAUCCAGUGGAAUCUACACAAACACUACUUCAACAACAAGGAGUUUAGGAAAGUGGUAGGGAGUUCGCGUUGUGGCUCAGCGUAAACGAAUCUGACUAGUAACCAUGAGGACACAAGUUCGAUCCCUGGCCUUACUCAGUGAGUUAAGGAUCCGGCAUGGCUGUGGCUUUGGCGUAGCCAGGAGCUGUAGCUCCGAUUGGAACCCUAGCCUGGGAACCUCCAUAUGCCACGGAUGAGGCCCUAAAUAAAAAAAGAGAGAGAAAGUGGUGGAUUAUAAUA